rnacentral:rRNA from 1 species
UAGGGUGCGAGCGUUGUCCGGAAUUACUGGGCGUAAAGAGCUCGUAGGUGGUUUGUCGCGUUGUUCGUGAAAACUCACAGCUUAACUGUGGGCGUGCGGGCGAUACGGGCAGACUAGAGUACUGCAGGGGAGACUGGAAUUCCUGGUGUAGCGGUGGAAUGCGCAGAUAUCAGGAGGAACACCGGUGGCGGAGGCGGGUCUCUGGGCAGUAACUGACGCUGAGGAGCGAAAGCGUGGGGAGCGAACAGGAUUAGAUACCCUGGUAGUCCACGCCGUAAACGGUGGGUACUAGGUGUGGGUUCCUUCCCUGGGAUCCGUGCCGUAGCUAACGCAUUAAGUACCCCGCCUGGGGAGUACGGCCGCAAGGCUAAAACUCAAAGGAAUUGACGGGGGCCCGCACAAGCGGCGGAGCAUGUGGAUUAAUUCGAUGCAACGCGAAGAACCUUACCUGGGUUUGACAUGCACAGGACGCCGGCAGAGAUGUCGGUUCCCCUUGUGGCCUGUGUGCAGGUGGUGCAUGGCGGUCGUCAGCUCGUGUCGUGAGA